UUGGCCCUACGGGGGGCAGCAGUGAGGAAUAUUGGUCAAUGGGCGAGGGCCUGAACCAGCCACGCCGCGUGAAGGAUGACGGCCCUAUGGGUUGUAACCUUCUUUUGUCAGGGAGCAAUUGAGUCCACGUGUGGGCUUAGCGAGAGUACCUGAAGAAAAAGCAUCGGCUAACUCCGUGCCAGCAGCCGCGGUAAUACGGUAGAUGGGAGCGUUAUCCGGAUUUAUUGGGUUUAAAGGG
rnacentral:rRNA from 1 species